rnacentral:lncRNA from 1 species
AGGGUGGUUAUGGAGUUAAAAGGUGGAUAGAGGAUUCGAAUUAGGCUGAAGGUGAAGGGAGUGAAGGAGUCAGAAAUGAGGUUGAAGGUGGAGGAAGGUUCGGUGAAUGGAGAUUACGGUUAUGGAUUCGCAGUGGUUGAAGGUUUGGCGAAUGGAGAUUACGGUUAUGGAGGUUGUAAGAAGAAGAAGAAUCUGGAAG